AGGGGCGGCUCCUCGCGCCCUAACGGUCGCCGCGCGCCUGCUUCAUCCCGCCCAAGCGCUCAGGGCGCGCUCCUGCACGGGGCAGCGGUGGGCGCCGAGGGGCUGACGGGGCGGGUCCGUGCCUGCGUUCCGCUGGUGUCCUUCCCAAGUUCUUCACGUGGUCACACUGAGAUAGCCAGCGUUACGUGAGGGACCGGCCACCGGCGUUGUAGGCGUCCCAAAGCCGUCAGCAAUUUUGGGCGGCGUGUUCAUAAUUGUAAUACUCUUUAGUGCCAUGCCAGCAGUAAUGAUUUCAGUUGUGGAAAACACGAGAGACUCGGGAAGGCGUUCACGCCCCCCAUCUCAGCAGGGCGGGAAGUCUCUGAGAGGUCGCACCUGGCCGCUUUUGUCAGCCCCAGUCCCACCUCUCACCAUGGGCUGUUGGGUCUCCUCACAGCAGCUCUGCCCCGGAGCCUGGAGCCGCAGUCGGAGCUGAGCAGUGCUGUGCGCUUCUCCGCUGGAGCACGGAAACGCGCUUUGAUUCCUCAAGAGAGAAGAGGAAGGAGGUGACAAGAAGUGCAGCUCCUACAUCUGGCACCUGGAGGCAGUGUUAUUUGUUACCUCACAGUUCAAUUGACUUAGCACUAUGCCACAUCUCUGCCACAGUCUACAGAAGUCCUUGACAGCGAGUUCAGAUUUUUGAAGCACAAGAAGCUCCUGAAUCCAGUCUGGUUGCCCUGAUCUUCACCGUCUAUUACAUCUUAUUUUAGAUCACAGACAGCCCUCUUAGCUAUCUUGCUUCUGGAGCGUUUCUUUCUUCAGGAAAGAAGGCUUUCUGUAUUUUGCCCAGUCUAAGUCUGUUGUUCCCGUUACCACUACUCUGGCAACAAUGAAUUUAGACCACAUAAUUUCAGAAACCAGAAAAACACAUUAGAAGGUGUCCAUUCAAAAUCGGUGGUAUUAUGGGCAGAGCCUCUCUUAUUAAAGAAAGUUACAUUCAGCCUAGUGACCUUCUGUCAUAGCUCAUUAAGGAAAAUCAGAAUUAAUAUACUUCUAUUUCUUCAUUUCCAACCAUGGAAAGUUAUGUCUCUGGCAUGUAGGCUCCAUUUCUCUUUAGAAAUUCUGCUUAGGCUUGUAGCCUAGAUAUAUACAUUGAUUUAUUUGUGCCAAGAAAAUAUCACUGACAGUUAUUUAUGAGUGAAGAAAAGUAGACAAUGAAAUCCAUAGCACCUGGCAUAGUAUGGACUUUAAUCUUUGGAGUGCCUUUUGAAUGCCAUAUUAAAAAACAAUACAUAGUUGAAAAAGAAGAGUGUUUUCUCUUUUAUGACAUACAUCUGUCUGUUGACAUGGAAUUACUGAAUUUUUCUUUUUGAUGUAGACUUAGUUUAGUACUAUUUAAAAAACAUUCAUAUACUACCAGUUCUCAUUUUAUAAACUUCAUCUGCCUGGACACAAACAGUAUAUACAAUAGAACAAUGUCUUUUUCAUAUUAAAAAAAAGAAGUAUCAUUUUGCACGAGUUACAAAGCCAUAGCCAUCUGACACUGGUGGCAGAUACUGAGUUCAGAUGAGGAGAGUGCUCUUUAUUCACUGACACAUAACAAUUAAUGGCAAAAGGAAAGAGUUCAACUGUUUGUUCUGAAAUCUGUGGUUUGGGAUUGUUGUUUAGAUUUAUGAACUGGAAAGAUGUUGCUUCUCCUUGCAAAACAGACUAACGUUAUAUUAAAAUAAAAAUUGAAACAUUUGAAAGAAACUAAAUGACUUGGGAGACUAAAUUUGCAUCCUUGCAACUUCAUUGUGUCUCCUUUUUCUGUCAUCUCUGUCCAGAAAAAAUAGAGAGGUUACAUCAGCACAUCCAAGUCCAAAGUUUAGCAAUUCCCCUUUAAUAUUGUGCCCCUUUAGUAUGGUUUAUAAUCUCUCUAUUGGUUGUGUGUCAGCUUUUAUGAAAACAUCCCCCUGAAAUUUAGUUGCACUAUCUCUGCAACCACAGUAACUCCUACUUUGGGGUUUCAUACCUUGAGAUUACUGACAAAAUAUCUGUCCUUCUCCCAUGUUUUUCCAAUUAACAUUAUUGAUGGAAGUUGCCCAUAGGAAACUGCUCAAGAUUGAAUGCAUCUGUGAUACAGAUGGAAGAGUUUCAUGUGGCAUGAAGCAUGUUCUGCACUAGGUGGUGCUCAUGGAAACUAGAGUCUCCUUCGCACUCCAGUAAAUUUACUCCCAUUAUCUUAAAAAUAAGAGGAGAACAAAGAUAUUUUGAGACGUGCAGGAUGGAGAUUUCUUAGAUUGUGAAUGGGCCCUUUUGAGGAAGGGAUUCUCAAGAAACAUGAGACAAAUUCUUCUGAAAGUGACUUAUUUGUGCUGAAAGGUUACAUGAAUGUCAAAAUAUGUCUGCUGUUCCUAAGGGACUGAAGCCCCUUGUAGUAAGGUCCUUUACCACAGCUAGAAUUUCUGCUUUUCCAGUAAAAAGAUCUCUCAACCCAUACAACCACUCAGAAUGUCAGACUUACUAUGUCUUACCUAAAGAAAAUGGAAAGAAUUUUCAAAAACAGAUACUUCAUCACAAGCACUAUUGAAAAUCGUGUGGAUUCUAACAUGGAAGUUUAGAAGUCUGAAUACAGCAUCUUCUUUUAAGAACUUUGUUCAACAUGUCCAAAUUUGAUUGCAUUCAGCUAGUCUUUUAAGUGCAUUAGUGAGACAUGUAAAUAAAAACACUGCUAUUCAGAGGUGUGCUGAGCACUCUCUCUUCUACUGCCAUCAGUGUGAGCUUAAAAGAUUAUUAACUGUGAAGACAGAGGUUCUUUAAUUUAGGUACCUCAUACCGUUUCCUACAAACUUCAGCAUCCAGGUUUUAAAAUUGUGGCUGUAACCACCUAGGUCCCUAGAGAUGACCCCUCAAAUCUUUAAUGAUGAGGAAGUGGCUUGAGUUAUCUUGAUGCUUCCCAGAUAAUGUGUAGACAAAGAAUGUCUGCGUUAUUCCUUUUCAGACUGAAAUCCACAGAUCUAGUAGUAGGGAGGAAGCCUGGAAAACAAAGACCUCCUUGUCAGAGAUGCUGGUUUCAGUUGGGAACAGUCACUUGGCCUGUUUAGUUAAUAAGCCCCAGAAAGCUGAAUUAGAAAGAGCAAAUGAUAUUAGUUUAGAAGGUCAGAGGGUUAACAGUGGAAGGAGCAGUAGUACUCAUGGUCGUUUUCUAAGCAAAGUUUAGCAGUACAAAACAAAGAUGGGGGAAAGAUGGAUACAAGAUAGAUAGAACACCUAUAGCUUACAUCUUACUGGACCUUGUCUUCUGACAUAAACUGAUGUAUCUUCACUGGAACAGUUAUACUAGUAAGGACUAACUCCAAACCCCUAGACUUAUGACUGUUUUGAGAUAGGCUCAUGGAAAACCUUUGAUAGCACGUUUGGAAUUCUAAAUUGAAUUAACAGAUGAGAUUCCUGUUUCCUGGUUCUAAUUUAUGUGGAAUGCUAAUUUUUUUUUUUUUUUUUUUUUUUUGGCUGCCAGAUGUAGUAGAAAGCUUUUGAAUUUAACAUAUACACAAAGGUCAGGGCACCAGAGUAAAACCUGGGAUUGUGCAAAUGUUAUGGCCCCGAUAGCUUCAGGACAUGGCCCUGCUGGGACUUCAGUCCAGACCUAAAUGGAAAUAUACUCCUUUGAAUUCACUCAUUCUUCUUCCAGACAUUUGGAUAAAAAAUAACGCAGUCCUUUAUCCCUGGAGACAAAGAUCCUUUAAGAGUCUCCAGUAUCUAAGGUAAUCCAUGCAUCAGCUUGGUCCAUCUGCCUGACUAAAUCUUAAUAGACCUGGGUCAUCUUUAGAGAGGAGCCGACAGUUUGAUUACUUUUAUAUUGACAGCUACAGCUUUUCUAAUACCUUUUGCUAAGCAAAAGAGAAUUACAGUGCUUCUGAAAGCCUCUGUGAAAAUCACUGAUUUCUAAUGCAAUGAUAUCCUCCUCAUGAGAAAGAAACAACUUCUCUGCAUUAGUGAUGAUGGGAAGUAUUCGCAGUCUAACUCAACAGUGUCACAAGCUGAAAUACCACGUCAAGGCUGCAAACAUGCAGAGCACUGCUCUCACUUUCCUAUCCUUGCUGAGUUAUUUGUUGUGGCCACACAGGGAAACUACCAGGCAUAGCUCAACAGAAAGGUUGGAUUUCAAGAGUUACUUCGUCAGUAUCUCUACCCAUUUCCUGACUCAAAUGCAGAUUGACAGGUUCCUAUUUAAAACAUCAUUUGAGUUACUAUUUAAAAGACUAUGACAGGGGAACAGUAACCUUGUUCCUUGCUCACCUACAGAACCCUACUUGAUUUGAAGAAGGCUUGAUUUUCUUUCUUAGAGAGAGUAAUGCAGAUCAGUAUGACCCCACCUGGAGAGCCCAGGAGGCAGAUUUGGGCUUCAGAGCACUCCUGUACAUCAGCCUGUGCAAACAGCUGCCACUCACAGAAGCCUCUGAUCCUUGGCUCCCCUAGCCUAGGCUCUUCGUUAAGAUGCCUGUGAGCAGGUACAAAUGACUUCAUUGCUUAAAGAGAUCUUCAUUACCUUUUUUGGAGCGAAUGUGCUUGUCUGGACAGAAGCAUCCCCAAAAUCAUUUGAAACAGCCUGAAAUCUCUCCAGCAUUUCAGCUUGGGAUUAGUGGGUAUUCUUUCAACUGUUAAUGAGAGUGCAGUAGAAUAUACAACACUGAAUACAUUCGUAUUACAUUUCACCUAUUGUCAUGCUGGAGGCCCAUGGUAAAUUAAUUUGGCAGAUAAAUUUACGAUGGCAAUUUGCCUUCCAGUUGUAUAAUUUAUUCAUGUCAGAAAUAAUUUAUUAUACUCCUCUUUAAGCCAUUCUUUUUUGGGGGUACCACCUUAGUAAAUAAAAUUUAUUGUUUACCCUGAGCCUUGUGUGUCUUCACAGUGGUCAGUCAAUAACCUCAAGGGGAUAGUUUUAGUCACAUUACUGGUCACUUAUUUGGAUGGAUGAUGAAGUGCCCUGGUCCCAUCUGUACAUAUAUUACUUUCUUUUGUCUUAGUGACACUGCUGGAAAGAUUAAUUAGGUCCAUCUGCAGGGAAAGAUCAGCCUUAGGGGAUUCAGGUGAAUAAAAUAAAUGCCAAGGGGAAAAAACUGCUGACAGGGGUGUUUUGGAAAUCAAACUGUUUUCCAUAACAUGAAUGGGGAAAUUACAUAAAGCAGGGACUUGAAAGAAAAGUAAAACUGCCAUUUAGUUUGGUUAUUUCAGCAUGACCUGAUAAAUAUCUCCUACUGCCGCUGCAGGAUAAGGAUCUAUGCUAAGGGUUAAAGUCCAUGGACAAUAUUCUCAGCUAUGUAAAUCAGAAUAGCUUUCUGAUCUCAGUGGAGCUACCCUCACUUUAUGAUGGUACAGAUUUGAGUCAUUUCUGUCAUAGUGAUAUUAUUUCUGUCCUUCAUUAGCGUGAUCCAAGAUGUGAAGUAAGCUAAUCUGGAUUCACAUUCUGUCUCCUCUUUUUUUAUUUUUUAUUUUUAAUUAUUCUAACAGUGCUGUAUUCACUGUG